rnacentral:rRNA from 1 species
UCUCAUGCCCCUUAUGUCCAGGGCUUCACACAUGCUACAAUGGUCGGACAACGCGCAGAGCACAUGUGAGGUGGACCGAAUCGCUCGAAACCGGCCUUAGUUCGGAUUGGGGUCUGCAACUCGACCCCAUGAAGUCGGAGUCAGCUAGUAAUCGCAGAUCAGCAAUGCUGCGGUGAAUACGUUCCCGGGCCUUGUACACACCGCCCGUCACGUCAUGAAAGUUGGUAACACCCGAAGCCGGUGGCCAAACUUGUUAGGGAGCCGCGAAGGUGGGAUCGGCGAUUGGGGCGAAGUCGUAACAAGGUACCCGUACCGGAA